rnacentral:rRNA from 1 species
GGCGACGAUCAGUAGCUGGUCUGAGAGGAUGAGCAGCCACACUGGGACUGAGACACGGCCCAGACUCCUACGGGAGGCAGCAGUGGGGAAUUUUCCGCAAUGGGCGCAAGCCUGACGGAGCAAUACCGCGUGAGGGAGGAAGGUCCUUGGAUUGUAAACCUCUUUUAUCAGGGGAGAAAAAAAUGACGGUACCUGAUGAAUAAGCAUCGGCUAACUCCGUGCCAGCAGCCGCGGUAAUACGGAGGAUGCAAGCGUUAUCCGGAAUUAUUGGGCGUAAAGCGUCCGUAGGUGGUCAUGCAAGUCUGCCGUUAAAGAAUGGAGCUUAACUCCAUAGGAGCGGUGGAAACUGCAAGACUAGAGUACAGUAGGGGUAGCAGGAAUUCCCAGUGUAGCGGUGAAAUGCGUAGAUAUUGGGAAGAACAUCGGUGGCGAAAGCGUGCUACUGGGCUGAAACUGACACUGAGGGACGAAAGCUAGGGUAGCGAAAGGGAUUAGAUACCCCUGUAGUCCUAGCCGUAAACGAUGGAUACUAGGCGUGGCUUGUAUCGACCCGAGCCGUGCCGAAGCUAACGCGUUAAGUAUCCCGCCUGGGGAGUACGCACGCAAGUGUGAAACUCAAAGGAAUUGACGGGGGCCCGCACAAGCGGUGGAGUAUGUGGUUUAAUUCGAUGCAACGCGAAGAACCUUACCAAGGCUUGACAUCCCUGGAAUCUUGCAGAAAUGCGAGAGUGCCUUAGGGAGCCAGGAGACAGGUGGUGCGUGGCUGUCGUCAGCUCGUGUCGUGAGAUGUUGGGUUAAGUCCCGCAACGAGCGCAACCCUCGUUUUUAGUUGCCAUCAUUAAGUUGGGCACUCUAGAGAGACUGCCGGUGACAAACCGGAGGAAGGUGGGGAUGACGUCAAGUCAUCAUGCCCCUUACGCCUUGGGCUACACACGUACUACAAUGGUCGGGACAACGGGCAGCUAAACCGCGAGGUCAAGCGAAUCCCAUCAGACCCGGCCUCAGUUCAGAUUGCAGGCUGCAACUCGCCUGCAUGAAGGAGGAAUCGCUAGUAAUCGCAGGUCAGAAUACUGCGGUGAAUUCGUUCCCGGGCCUUGUACACACCGCCCGUCACACCAUGGGAGCUGGUCACGCCCGAAGUCGUUACUCUAACCGUUCGCGGAGGAGGGCGCCGAAGGCAGGGCUAGUGACU